rnacentral:rRNA from 1 species
UAAAGCCUACGGGAGGCAGCAGGGGGGAAUAUUGCACAAUGGGGGAAACCCUGAUGCAGCGACGCCGCGUGAGUGAAGAAGUAUUUCGGUAUGUAAAGCUCUAUCAGCAGGGAAGAAGAAGGACGGUACCUGAGUAAGAAGCCACGGCUAACUACGUGCCAGAAGCCGCGAUAAUACGUAGGGGGCAAGCGUUAUCCGGAUUUACUGGGUGUAAAGAGAGCGUAGACGGCGAAGAAAGUCUGA